AUCCGCCUGACCAGUCCCAAAUAGGACGAAACGCGCGUCCUGGAU
rnacentral:hammerhead_ribozyme from 1 species